rnacentral:rRNA from 1 species
AUCAAUAAGCGGAGGAAAAGAAACUAACAAGGAUUCCCCUAGUAACGGCGAGUGAAGAGGGAAAAGCUCAAAUUUAAAAUCUGGCGGUCUACGGCCGUCCGAGUUGUAAUCUAGAGAAGUGUUUUCCGCGCUGGACCGUGUACAAGUCCUUUGGAACAAGGCGUCAUAGAGGGUGAGAAUCCCGUCUACGACACGGACUGCCAAGCGCUUUGUGAUACACUCUCAACGAGUCGAGUUGUUUGGGAAUGCAGCUCAAAAUGGGUGGUAAAUUCCAUCUAAAGCUAAAUAUGGGCGAAAGACCGAUAGCGAACAAGUACCGUGAGGGAAAGAUGAAAAGCACUUUGGAAAGAGAGUUAAACAGUACGUGAAAUUGUUGAAAGGGAAACGCUUGAAGUCAGUCGCGUCUUCAGAAAUUCAGCAGGGCUUCUGCCCUGCGUACUUUUCUGUGGGACGGGCCAGCAUCAGUUUUGGCUGCCAGAAAAAGGUGGGAGGAAGGUGGCACCUCCGGGUGUGUUAUAGCCUCCGAUCGUAUGUGGCAGCCGGGACUGAGGACCGCAGCACGCCUUCAUGGCCGGGGUUCGCCCACGUAACGUGCUUAGGAUGCUGGCGUAAUGGCUUUAAGCGACCCGUCUUGAAACACGGACCAAGGAGUCUAACAUGCCUGCGAGUAUUUGGGUGGCAAACCCAUAUGCGCAAUGAAAGUGAACGGUUGGGACUUCUGUCAUGGAAGGCACCGACGCCCGGACCAGACCUAUUGUGACGGAUCCGAGGUAGAGCAUGUAUGUUGGGACCCGAAAGAUGGUGAACUAUGCCUGAGUAGGGGUGAAGCCAAGAGGAAACUCUG